rnacentral:rRNA from 1 species
UACGUAGGGGGCUAGCGUUGUCCGGAAUCACUGGGCGUAAAGCGCACGUAGGCGGCUUUCUAAGUCAGGGGUGAAAUCCUGGAGCUCAACUCCCAGAACUGCCUUUGAUACUGGAGAGCUUGAGUCCGGAAGAGGUGAGUGGAACUCCGAGUGUAGAGGUGAAAUUCGUAGAUAUUCGGAAGAACACCAGUGGCGAAGGCGGCUCACUGGUCCGGUACUGACGCUGAGGCACGAAAGCGUGGGGAGCAAAACAGG